UACGUAGGGUGCAAGCGUUAAUCGGAAUUACUGGGCGUAAAGCGUGCGCAGGCGGUUUUGUAAGUCUGUCGUGAAAGCCCCGGGCUCAACCUGGGAAUUGCGAUGGAGACUGCAAGGCUUGAAUCUGGCAGAGGGGGGUAGAAUUCCACGUGUAGCAGUGAAAUGCGUAGAGAUGUGGAGGAACACCAGUGGCGAAGGCAGCCCCCUGGGUCAAGAUUGACGCUCAUGCACGAAAGCGUGGGGAGCAAACAGG
rnacentral:rRNA from 1 species